rfam:Capsella rubella cultivar Monte Gargano unplaced genomic scaffold scaffold_5, whole genome shotgun sequence.
AUGAAAAAAGCAUGUCAAGAUAGCCAAGGAGACUGCCUAAAACCUAACCCACAAGAUUCAACAUGAUUUCAAAUUAUUAUACCCUUAAAUUGCAUAAUAAUCGAAAAACCAUGAACAUAAAAUUGAAUCUUGGUGGUGAAAAAAGAUUUAGGCAAGUCAUCCUUGGCUACUAAACAUGACUCUUUCU